UUUGUCACCAAGUCCAAAUCUAAAUACCAAGGAAAUCAACUUUUUUUUUCUACUGUGUUCCUUUGAGAAUUCUCCCAUCUUCCAUUGUCACAAAUUUCCAUUCAAAGAAAUCUCAAGCAAAGUAAGAAUUUUGUAGCUUUUAAAUCUAAAAAUUCAAGUUCAACCCAAGCUCCAUUACGACCGAAUUUAUCUUCCACGAAGAGUACGAGAGGAGCUUGCAGCAGUAAGCUGGGUAGAGCUUACGGCAAGCUUUUAGCACGUCAAAAGUUAGUACUUUGUUGUUCAUAAUAUGUAUAUCACGGGGACAAAUCUGGGGUAGUUUUAUGUUGCUCAUGACUCAUGCUUUUGAUAUAUUUUGUUGUACAUAAAAAUAUGGGAUUUUGUUUGCGGGUUAGUUUACUUUCGGUAUUUGACUUGCACUCUCCUUUAUUUUGCUGUGUAAACACUUGCGCUAUGGUCUGGGAUAAGGUCUAAUUUUCGGUACAUCUAGAACUGCUUACAAAAAUUCAUUUUGCUAUUUUGUUAUGAUGUAUUGCAGACCUCUUUAUAAUUAAAAAUGAUAAUAGCGGAUUUCAGAUAUAGUAAAAUGCAUACUGCAAAUGUCAA